rnacentral:lncRNA from 10 species
UGGAAAUAGAAACCUGAGAGAAUGAGAAGCAAGAGUCAGAUUUUGAUUCAAAAGUUGAAAGAAGAUUUUAAUUCUGCAAGGUAUCCACCCCUGCUUCAGCCUCUGAAGAGGAAAGCAAGAUACUCAUCAGAGACUCAGCUAUUCCUCCAUUCCGAAGCAUCCCAGAGGAAUUUCUGAAGGCAGGAGGGAAUCCUGAGAGACAGAUGAGCAGAACAGAAGAAGACUUCUGUGGACAGAUUCAGGAAGGGCAAAGACUGUCUCUUACAUAUAAAACUACAUCUCCCACCUCCAACAUGUGAUUUGGCGUCUAGGAAGUAUCUAUAUGUGCUUGAAGAAAGAAGGAAGAGAGAAGGAAAGAAAAGAAGGAGGGUAGAAAAGAAGAAGGAGGAUCCUUCCAGCUAUCCUGCAAGAGACUACCCUAUGCUGCAUUGAGAAUAAUACUCAGGAACACAGCAGGAAAUUCCACUGGGGAAGCAUCAGACAAGACACCGAUGACGCAGAAAGGCUUCAUGUCAGCCACUGCAGGCAACGGGCUGCUCUUGAGUUCAUCUCCUGGAUCUCUAAGUCUGGGGACCUUGUGGGUAAAAAAUGAAACUGAUGCCCACAACUAAACUAAGAUUAAAUCAAAAGCAAUUCAAUAUUUUAUUUUGAAAGCUGUGUUUUAAGUAUUUCUUUCUUGUGUAGUAAUUUUAGAUUUAUCAAAUGGCUUUAAAGAUAGUUCGGGAGGUUCCUAUAUACCCUCGCCAAGUUUUCCCAGUUAAAAAAAUUUUUAAGGAGAAACGAUUUGACCCAGAGAAUUUUACUUGAGAUGGGAUCUCACUAUGUUGCCCAGGCUGGUCUCUAACUCCUGAGCUCAAGUAUUCCUCCCACCUCAGCCACCCAAAGUGCUGGGAUUUGUUAACACAAACUAAAUAUGGACUCUGUACUUCUAUAUUUGAGUCCUUGUGGACAAACUGCAACCUAACUUAAUAGGUAGACAAAAUUGAAAACCGAACAUAGGAGUACACACCUGUAACAACAGCUGAGUCGUGGCCAAUCCCAGGAGCUAUACUUCAACCACUCAUACACCGAUGAGUGUUGAAGCUGUGUUCAAAUGAGGCAAACGCCAACCUGUAACCAAUCCAGCUGUUCUGUACCUCACUUCUGAUUUGUGUACAUCAUUUCCCCCCACUUUCUUUUUUUGAGACAGAGUCUUGCUCUGUUUCCCAGGCUGGAGUGUAGUGGCAUGAUCUCUGCUCACUGCAAGCUCUGCCUCCCGGGUUCACGCCAUUCUCCUGCCUCAGCCUCCUGAGUAGCUGGGACUACAGGCGCCUGCCACAACGCCCGGCUGAUUUUUUGUAUUUUUAGUAGAUGUGUGGUUUCACCGUGUUAGCCAGGAUGGUCUCGAUCUCCUGACCUCUUGAUCCACCCGCCUCAGCCUCCCAAAGUGCUGGGAUUAGAGGCGUGAGCCACCGCGCCUGGCCCUCUUUUUUUGUCUAUAAAUCUUCCACUACAUGGCUGUGCUGGAGUCUCUUUGAAUCAGCUGUGAUUCUGGGGGAUAUCCGAUCCCUGAAUCGUUCAUUGCUCAACUAAACUCCUUUACAUUCAAUUUGCCUGAAGUUUUUCUUUUUUUUUUUUUCCUUCAGAUCGAGUCUCACACUGUCGCCUGGGCUAGAGUGCAAUGGCAUGAUCUCAGCUCACUGCAACCUCCGCCUCCCAGUUCAAGCAAUUCUCCUGCCUCAGCUCCCGAGUAGCUGGGAUUACAGGUGUCCACAACCAUGCCUGGCUAAUUUUUUAUAUUUUCAGUAGAGACGAGAUUUCACCAUGUUGGCCAGGCUGGAGUGCAAAGGUCAGGUCUCAAACUACUGACCUCAGGUGAUCCGCCCACCUUGGCCUCCCAAAGUGCUGGGAUUACAGGCGUGGGCCACAGCACUUGGCUGAAGUUUUUCCUUUAUCAGAUGACAGGCAUGAGCCAGUAGUUUUGCCCAGCCAUUUUCUCCUCUUGUUAACAUCUCACAUAACCUGAGUAAAUUUGUCACAACUGAAAAACCAACAUUCUUACAUUAUUAUUAACUAAAUUCUGGACUUAAUUACAAUUUCAUCUGUCUUUCCAUGUAUGUCCUCUUUCUGUUCCACCAUCUGAUCCAAGGUAUCACAUUGCAUUUAGUUGUAGCAUCUCCCCAGUCUCCUCUGAUGUGUCCAUUUCUCAGUCUUUCCUUGGUUUUCAUGACCCUGGAAGUCCUAGUGGGGAUACUGGCCAGGUAUUUUGUAGAAUGUCCUCCACUCUGGGUUUCUCUGGUGGACUUCUCAUGAGUAGACUGGAGUUUGGGUUUGGGGGAAGAACACCACAAAACUGAAGCAUCUUCCUCUUCACAUCUUAUCCAAGGCUGCAUGAGAGCCACCAGGCUUCCUCAGUGAGGUUGGCAUUCAUCACUUGGGUAGCAUUUGCCAGGUUUCGCCACUUGCUUUUUUUUUUUUUAUUUUGAGAUGGGAUCUCACUCUGUCACCCAGGCUGGAGUGCAAUGGUGCUAUCUCGGCUCACUGC